UACGAAGGGGGCUAGCGUUGUUCGGAUUUACUGGGCGUAAAGCGCACGUAGGCGGACUAUUAAGUCAGGGGUGAAAUCCCGGGGCUCAACCCCGGAACUGCCUUUGAUACUGGUAGUCUUGAGUUCGAGAGAGGAUAGUGGAAUUCCCAGUGUAGUGGUGAAAUACGUAGAGAUUGGGAAGAACACCAGUGGCGAAGGCGGCUAUCUGGACGGUUUCUGACGCUAAGACGCGAAAGCGUGGGGAGCAAACAGG
rnacentral:rRNA from 1 species